rnacentral:rRNA from 1 species
GACGAACGCUGGCGGCGUGCUUAACACAUGCAAGUCGAACGAAGAGCGAUGGAAGCUUGCUUCUAUCAAUCUUAGUGGCGAACGGGUGAGUAACGCGUAAUCAACCUGCCCUUCAGAGGGGGACAACAGUUGGAAACGACUGCUAAUACCGCAUACGAUCUAAUCUCGGCAUCGAGGAUAGAUGAAAGGUGGCCUCUACAUGUAAGCUAUCACUGAAGGAGGGGAUUGCGUCUGAUUAGCUAGUUGGAGGGGUAACGGCCCACCAAGGCGAUGAUCAGUAGCCGGUCUGAGAGGAUGAACGGCCACAUUGGGACUGAGACACGGCCCAGACUCCUACGGGAGGCAGCAGUGGGGAAUCUUCCGCAAUGGACGAAAGUCUGACGGAGCAACGCCGCGUGAGUGAUGACGGCCUUCGGGUUGUAAAGCUCUGUUAAUCGGGACGAAAGGCCUUCUUGCGAAUAGUGAGAAGGAUUGACGGUACCGGAAUAGAAAGCCACGGCUA